rnacentral:rRNA from 1 species
AUUGAACGCUGGCGGCAGGCUUAACACAUGCAAAUCGAGCGGAGAUGAGGUGCCUGCACCUUAUCUUAGCGGCGGACGGGUGAGUAAUGCUUAGGAAUCUGCCUAUUAGUGGGGGACAACAUUCCGAAAGGAAUGCUAAUACCGCAUACGCCCCACGGGGGAAAGCAGGGGAUCUUCGGACCUUGCGCUAAUAGAUGAGCCUAAGUCGGAUUAGCUAGUUGGUGGGGUAAAGGCCUACCAAGGCGACGAUCUGUAGCGGGUCUGAGAGGAUGAUCCGCCACACUGGGACUGAAACACGGCCCAGACUCCUACGGGAGGCAGCAGUGGGGAAUAUUGGACAAUGGGCGGAAGCCUGAUCCAGCCAUGCCGCGUGUGUGAAGAAGGCCUUUUGGUUGUAAAGCACUUUAAGCGAGGAGGAGGCUACCUGGAUUAAUACUCUAGGAUAGUGGACGUUACUCGCAGAAUAAGCACCGGCUAACUCUGUGCCAGCCGCCGCAGUAAUAC